rnacentral:misc_RNA from 1 species
CAAACUCGUUGGAACUCAAUUACCAAGGCGGGGAGAGACUGUAAGUGCACUUCAAGUUGCAGGUACUCAAGAUUCAUGACUCUGACGCGGAAUGCCUGUUGAUUACCAUGAAGCAUAACUUGUUAUACCUACUCUAUGUAAUCCUUAUAUAUGUUUGUAAUGCUGCAUCUUGCUUAGUUAGUACUGUGUUUCCUUCAUGCAUAAAGUGUUUUUCUUAUUUUAACUCUUUACACCCCCAAGAUGAGAUCUCAUUAAAAAAUAUUGCAGUAUCUCUCCCG